GAUGAACGCUGGCGGCGUGCUUAACACAUGCAAGUCGAACGGAAAGGCCAGUGCUUGCACUGGUACUCGAGUGGCGAACGGGUGAGUAACACGUGGGUGAUCUGCCCUGUACUUCGGGAUAAGCUUGGGAAACUGGGUCUAAUACCGGAUAGGACAACUUUUUGGAUAUUGUUGUGGAAAGCUUUUGCGGUAUGGGAUGAGCUCGCGGCCUAUCAGCUUGUUGGUGGGGUAAUGGCCUACCAAGGCGUCGACGGGUAGCCGGCCUGAGAGGGUGUACGGCCACAUUGGGACUGAGAUACGGCCCAGACUCCUACGGGAGGCAGCAGUGGAGAAUAUUGCACAAUGGGCGCAAGCCUGAUGCAGCGACGCCGCGUGGGGGAUGAAGGCCUUCGGGUUGUAAACUCCUUUCGCUAGGGACGAAGCGUAAGUGACGGUACCUGGAGAAGAAGCACCGGCUAACUACGUG
rnacentral:rRNA from 1 species